UACGGAGGGGGCAAGCGUUGCUCGGAAUCACUGGGCGUAAAGGGCGCGUAGGCGGGGAGGUAAGUCGGGUGUGAAAUCCCUCGGCCCAACCGAGGAACUGCGCCCGAGACUGCUUCUCUUGAGUCCCGGAGAGGAAGGUGGAAUUCCCGGUGUAGCGGUGAAAUGUGUAGAGAUCGGGAGGAACACCGGUGGCGAAGGCGGCCUUCUGGACGGUGACUGACGCUGAGGCGCGAAAGCGUGGGGAGCAAACGGG
rnacentral:rRNA from 1 species